rnacentral:lncRNA from 1 species
UCUUGCAACAUUGGUUAAACGCUACCUUUGAGUAUCAACUGGGAUACAUAAUGUCAGAGCGUCUUAUGCGACUGAACAAAGACCGACCGAUCGAAGGGGCCAGGUUGGCUUUGACAACUUGUCAGGAGACUCCAAACACCAAUAUCUUCAUGAAAUAUUUGAAUAUGUUCAUCGAAGCAGACAAAUUCUCUCCUGGAUGGCGCCAUUUGCUGAUAGAAACUUCUGCCCCAAAUGCUUCAAAGAUC